rnacentral:rRNA from 1 species
UACGGGGGGAGCAAGCGUUGUUCGGAUUUACUGGGCGUAAAGGGCGCGUAGGCGGUCGUGACAAGUCACUUGUGAAAUCUCCGGGCUUAACUCGGAACGGUCAAGUGAUACUGUCGUGCUAGAGUACAGAAGGGGCAACUGGAAUUCUCGGUGUAGCGGUGAAAUGCGUAGAUAUCGAGAGGAACACCUGCGGCGAAGGCGGGUUGCUGGGCUGAUACUGACGCUGAUGCGCGAAAGCCAGGGGAGCGAACGGG